UGGAAUUUGUUUAAUAUACAGAACUGCAAACAGCAACUAACUGGUCCACUAUUAAAACACGUCAAACGUUGCCUCGUUCAACAUUAUAGGAGAAGCCGUUUGUGUGUGGGCAACCUUAACAAGCAACUUGAAACCUCCAUGUCUAGUAGGUACAGGUGGUCCCCUCGUUCAGUACAGGUGGCCCCCUCGUUCAGUACAGGUGGUCCCCUCGUACAAUACAGGUGGUCCCCUCGUACAAUACAGGUGGUCCCCUCGUUCAGUACAGGUGGUCCCCUCGUUCAGUACAGGUGGUCCCCUCGUUCAGUACAGGUGGUCCCCUCGUACGGUACAGGUGGUCCCCUCGUACGGUACAGGUGGUCCCCUCGUUCAGUACAGGUGGUCCCCUCGUACGGUAAAGGUGGUCCCCUCGUACAAUACAGGUGGUCCCCUCGUUCAGUACAGGUGGUCCCCUCGUUCAGUACAGGUGGUCCCCUCGUUCAGUACAGGUGGUCCCCUCUUACAAUACAGGUGGUCCCCUCGUUCAGUACAGGUGGUCCCCUCGUUCAGUACAGGUGGUCUCCUCGUACAAAACAGGUGGUCCCCUCGUAUGAUGCAAUUGGUCCCCUCGUUCGGUACAGGUGGUACCUUCCUACAGUGCAAUUGAUCCCCUCGCUCCCCCAGUAACAUGCUGCCUGUACGGGUAUUAAAGCAGUGAAGUACCUGUGGGUGCCAAGCAAGUGCGUUGCCCUGUUAUAAUGUGAUGAUGUUAAUUGUCACCGAGGGUCGUGAGUCACUUGUAUAUUGUGGCAACAUUUUACUUGUGCUGACAUUGUUGAAGUAUACUCUGUCUCCCCGUCGUCGUCGGCCUGUCUGGUCGGCGGUGUAGACAUGAGUCACUGCUGCUGCUGCUGUGUGUUGAUACAUGAGAAUGAACAUUGGCUUGCUCGUGUACUAGUAGACGAUACAUUAUAGCAAGUGGAGCAGGAAACAACGCUUUGCUAUUUGAGAUAAUGCUUUG